GGGUGAGUGUGCCGAGCGGCGAAGGCAGCGGACUGUAAAUCCGUGACAGAGAAACACCGGUGGUUCGAUUCCACCUUCACCCA
rnacentral:tRNA from 1 species